AACGAACGCUGGCGGCAUGCCUAACACAUGCAAGUCGAACGAGAUCUUCGGGUCUAGUGGCGCACGGGUGCGUAACGCGUGGGAAUCUGCCCUUUGGUUCGGAAUAACAGUUGGAAACGACUGCUAAUACCGGAUGAUGACGAAAGUCCUAAGAUUUAUCGCCAGAGGAUGAGCCCGCGUAGGAUUAGCUAGUUGGUGUGGUAAAGGCGCACCAAGGCGACGAUCCUUAGCUGGUCUGAGAGGAUGAUCGGCCACACUGGGACUGAGACACGGCCCAGACUCCUACGGGAGGCAGCAGUGGGGAAUAUUGGACAAUGGGCGAAAGCCUGAUCCAGCAAUGCCGCGUGAGUGAUGAAGGCCUUAGGGUUGUAAAGCUCUUUUACCCGGGAUGAUAAUGACAGUACCGGGAGAAUAAGCUCCGGCUAACUCCGUGCCAGCCGCCGCGGUAA
rnacentral:rRNA from 1 species